ensembl:lncRNA novel transcript
GGGCAGUCAGAAAAAUCAGCAAGACAGAGAAAUAACCAAGAGAAAUGAGCAAAGCCCGACUGACUGCUUAGUGUGCCUCUUUAGUCAACAUGAAAAAGAAGAAAAGAACAAGCAACUGAAUGAUCCUCUGAUGGCCUCAAGGCAGUGGAUUGAGAAUAUCUCUUAAGUACAAGGAGGUAUUCUAGGUUGUUCCUACUUUGGCCAUUGGAGCUCUUUCCAGUUAGCUUCUCUUCCUUGGACAGCUUCCAUACGUUUUUGAGCACUUCCUUAUUUCUGACACCAGAAGAUGACUCAGGCUUGACUUGUAUUCUCCCCGUCCAACAAUGGAAUCUGCCAUUUCUCCAAGGAGCCCUGAUUCCUUUUAUUUGAGCGUGCAUCCUGGGAAUUCAAUAUUUUCUCCAAACUUUCUGAAGAUACUGAUAAACACUGACUGGGUAGUAUAUAAAGAAAAGAAGUGUAUUUAGAUCAAGGCUCUGGAGACUGGGAAGUGCAAGAGCAUGGUGCCAGCAUCUGGUGAGGGCCUUACUGCUGCAUCAUCACAUGGUAAGAGAGCCAGAAAUAACUCCGUUUUUUAACAAAGACACUCCCACAAUAGCAACAUUAAUCCACUCAUGAAAGCAGAGGAAUUUAGUUUCCAACACGUAAACUUUUGGGGGACACAUUCCAACUAUAAGGAAUACUAAGUCAGUCAAAGAUGAAGUUCAGUAUGGGAAUUUAUAUAUACAUGUUUAAACUCAGUGACUUGAGGAACACUGCUGUCAUUUAGGAAACAGAAAGAUAUUGUGGACAAGUAGUAUAUGAGGGAAAGUGAUAUGAAAAGUAAUCAGGGAGGCAGAGUUUAGGCUUGGGCAACAGGAAGUUCUAAAUUCUAAUUCUGUCACUUUCUGUCUGAAUGACUGAGUAAUUAACCUUGUAAGCCCCAUCUUUCACAAUUCUGUGACGUGUAAUGGUAUCUUCACAUAGGAUUGUUGUUGAAUUAGAGGGAACAAUAUUUUUAUGUGCUUAACACAAUGCCUAGAAUACACUAAGCUCUCAAUAAUUGUUUGCAGAAUCCAGAAAAGACCAAAAUAAACUGGGAAACAAUUUAUUAAAAAUAAAAUAAAAAGAGAAAAGAAGAACAUUGAAGCACUGGAGAGAUAGUUGAUUAAAGAAAUUCUUGUGCAAGAUUAUUUUUGACUGCAGUUUAAUAAAAAAUAUGAAUAUGAAAAAGUCUCGAUGAAAAAUUUGCUACCAGCAACAUGUUGGUGAUGGUCCUAUUAUUUUAAGAAAAUCAACACUAUUAUCAAAGACCUAGUGAUUUUAUUUAAAACAUCUAUAUGAAUUCUUCUUUUAAGGGUAGUCAUCCAAAUCUCCAUAAUAAAACCUUUUUAUUUGCUGCCUAAAAAUAAUUAUGGAACACAGACAGUGCUUAUGGGAAUUGCAUUCCCUGAUGUUCUUUUUACAACUACAGUAGAUUUUUAGGCUUGUCUUUCUUUUAUUGUGGUGUUUUCUAUCAGCUAUUCCUUAGGGUUACACAUAUUAGUGAGCUACAAUGCUCUUUGUGGUUCAUUAUAAAGAUGUAGGUUCAAUGUAAGCAAAGCUUGCCUAGUUGGGGAAUUAAUUUUCUCUCCUGAUUAUAGUCAACCCAUCAUGAUACCAUAACUGAGUGUUAGCAUUGGAAAUUUUAUUCAUAAGGUUUGCUUCAGAUUUCAUAUGUUGAAACCAUAAAUUUAUUUAAGGUGUAGUAUAGCUAAUAUGCUAUUUUUAAGUCCUUUUAAGAAAUGUUUUUAGUUAAACCUAAAAAAGUAGUCCCUGGAAGCAACUUCCUUCUAUGCUUUGUAGAAGGAGGCCACAGCAGUAAUGAGUUAGAGGCGUGAUUAAAAUUAGAACAGUAAGGGCAAGCUAGAGCUAUCAGCACGUUUUACUAAACCUCCAUACACUAGAAUGAGAUAGGAUUUAAAACUGUUUGUAACUGAGUUUGCCAAAAGCUAAUUAAUGGGAUUAAGCUGCAGAGUUUCUCUUUUCCCACUGGGCAAAUUAAAACAACAUUUAGAAAGAUACCUCAUAUCUAAUCUUAAAUUAGUCUUGUGCUACUAUGUUUAUGUCUAAGCUUUAAAGUGGAUUUAAAAUACAUCAAGAGGGUGAAAGCUAUGGCAUUCCUCUAACUGACUAUUCCAAAUUGAUAACAAAAUAAUGAAAAGGCAUAUAACUUAUACUUGGAAAGUAAUAGAAUGAAAUAGAGGAUAUUUCUGAAGAUGCAGAUUGUCUUAAGAAUAAAGUUUUAAAACAUUUGCUAUGAAAAAUAUGUCCAAAUUUAACCAGUGUAACUGAAUUCACUAUUUUCAUAAAAGACAUUUAUUAAGUUGAUCUUGUGAAAUGCCAUUUUUCAUGUUAACAAUAGAGUUUUAAAAAUAAUAGAAAGUAUCACUACAUUCCAUAGGCUAUAGUACAUUCUUGUUCUGUUUAUUAUGCUGUAAUUUUCCUUACACCUGUUCUCUUCGUGAAAAGAUUUCCUGGAAAACUAAUAGUGAAAUCAAUAGGGUUUCAGUGAUAUGUGUGGCAAGAUGGGUUGGGAAAGGAAGAAAGAGUAUUUAAUACUCAGAUUUCAAUUGUUUUAGAUAGUUAGGACAUUAUCAUUGUCUUAAAUUACUGUAAAAUAUAAUGAAGUCUCAUAUUUUUAUGCAAAUAUAACUGCUAAUUGGAAACAUUUCUAAUAGUUAUUCUGAGUCUCUCUAGGAGUUAUUAUAAGUCUCUUUUUCGGAAUGAAAAGGCCAUUUUUAAAAUUUUAACAAGAUGCCAGAAUGUUGCAUUAUACUAAAUGUGUAGAUUUUCCAAAGUAAUUUAAAUUAUAAACUGUCUAAUCUGUUACUAAUCAACAAAAUUACUUUGAAUUAAUUUUUUUUUAUGCACUUAAAAUUGAUAUUUUUCUUUGUUGGUUCAUUUUUAUUUUUUAUUUUAAAACACAACUGAAUAAAUAAUUUACAUCAGAAUUUAUCAGUCUUAGUACUAUUGACAUUUGGGCUGAAUAAUUCUUUAUUUGAGUGGCCUGUGCUGUGCACUGCAGUAUAUUUAUCAGUAUCUUUGGCCUCUGCCUCUUAGUUACCAGUAGCACCUUUCCAGAUGUGCCAAUCAAAAAUAUCUCAUGUACCCUGGAGAGGAAAGGGGCAAAAUUACCCUCUACUCUUCAUUGAGAACCACUCGUUGAUAUGUAUAUCUAAAGAUAUAAAAUGAUUGAAAAAUCUCAGUGUACCCAAAUAAUAAGCAAUUUAAAUAUGCCAACAUUUAUGUAAAAUUAAAUAAAUUAAAGCCAAAAGUAGAACGUACGAAAUAGUAAAUAUAGAAAAAAUGUUAAAUGUUUAUAUUUUCAUUGUGAAAUUUAAUACAGCAUGGAAAAUCCUAGUAAGAUUAUUCAAAUGAAAACUGAUAAUUUUUUACAAAUUUAUUGAUAUAAAGUAAAAUAAACCUUACCUAUUUAAGUUAAACAAGUUGAUCAUUUUAUAUAUAUAUGUCAAAUAUAUGUGUGUGUGUAUAUAUAUAUGUACAUACUUAUACAAUCAUCACCACAAUUAGCAUAGUGAACAUGUUCAUUAUAAUAAAAAGUUUUCUUGUUCCUCUUUGUUAUCAAUCCAGAUGCAAUUCUUGUUCCCCUUUGUUAUCAAUCCAGCCACAAUCUCAGGCAAUCACUGAUCUGCUUUCUGUCACUAUAGAUUGGUUUGAAUUUUCUAGAAUUUUCUCUACAUGGAAU